ensembl:rRNA 5S_rRNA 5S ribosomal RNA
GGUUGUUUCCAAACCAUCUUGAGCUGUGAUCUUGUCUAAUGUUAUAAACUAAGCAAGAUCAGGCCUAGUUAAUACUUGAACGAGAUCUUCAGGGAACAACCAGGUGCUGCAGGAA